GGCGCAGGUAGGUGGAGGGUUCCACCCCGGUCUGCGAGACCAGGUUCCGCCGCGCGUCCAGAUACGCGCCCAGCGCCUC
rnacentral:tRNA from 1 species